UACGUAGGGGGCAAGCGUUGUCCGGAAUCAUUGGGCGUAAAGAGCGUGUAGGCGGCCUUAUAAGUCGGCUGUGAAAGUCAAGGGCUCAACCCUUGAAUGCCGGCCGAUACUGUGAGGCUAGAGUCCGGAAGAGGCGAGUGGAAUUCCUGGUGUAGCGGUGAAAUGCGCAGAUAUCAGGAGGAACACCGAUGGCGAAGGCAGCUAGCUGGGACGGUACUGACGCUGAGACGCGAAAGCGUGGGGAGCGAACAGG
rnacentral:rRNA from 1 species